CUCGGUGGCAAUGCCGGAGAGGAAACACCCGUUCCCAUCCCGAACACGGAAGUUAAGCUCUCCAAGGCCGAUGGUACUGCAUGGGAGACUGUGUGGGAGAGUAGGACGCUGCCGGGA
rnacentral:rRNA from 1 species